rnacentral:rRNA from 1 species
CGUCUAUAUACGUAUAGCAUAUCAAUAAGCGGAGGAAAAGAAACUAACUAGGAUUCCCUCAGUAACGGCGAGUGAAGCGGGAAGAGCUCAAAUUUGAAAUCUUCAAGGUUCUACCUUGACGAAUUGUAGUUUAAAGAAGUGUUUUCUGUUGGAGUUUUGGUAAAAGUUCUUUGGAAUAGGACAUCAUAGAGGGUGAGAAUCCCGUAUUUGACCAUUAUUUCCAGCUUUGUGAUACACUUUCAAAGAGUCGGAUUGUUUGGGAAUGCAGUCCAAAAUGGGUGGUAAAUUUCAUCUAAAGCUGAAUAUUGGCGAGAGACCGAUAGCGAACAAGUACCGUGAGGGAAAGAUGAAAAGAACUUUGAAAAGAGAGUUAAACAGUACGUGAAAUUGUCAAAAGGGAAGCGUUUGACACCAGUGUUGUUUUUCUCGAAAAUCAAUUACGAAAUGGCUGAUUCUGUGUUGUAUUGACCUUUAUCAGCUUUCUGCACUCUUUUUCUAGUCUUUCUUAAUGCACUUUUCGUUUAACAAGUCAACAUCAAUUUCUUUUGUUGUAAAAGAGGUCAUUGGAAGGUGGCUUUCCUUUCGGAUGAAAGUGUUUAUAGCCUUUGGCUUCUGCAAUCGGAGAGAUUGAGGUCUGCAGCGUAGAUCCUUCGGGGUUAGAUACAUUAGAUGCUAAGUUAUAGCCUUUUUAUAGACAACUUGUUGACUAUGAUUAAGUCAUGUAGCUUACUCGUUUGCGCUAUUUUACCUACGCUUAGGAUGUUGAAGUCAUCGUAUCGCGC